CAUGCCUAACACAUGCAAGUCGAACGGCAGCACAGCCCGCAAGGGUGGGUGGCGAGUGGCGGACGGGUGAGGAAUACAUGGGAAUCUACCCUGUCGUGGGGGAUAACGUUUCGAAAGGAACGCUAAUACCGCAUACGCCCUACGGGGGAAAGGGGGGGAUCUUCGGACCUCUCACUAUUGGAUGAGCCCAAGUCGGAUUAGCUAGUUGGUGGGGUAAAGGCCUACAAAGGCGACGAUCCGUAGCUGGUCUGAGAGGAUGAUCAGCCACACUGGAACUGAGACACGGUCCAGACUCCUACGGGAGGCAGCAGUGGGGAAUAUUGGACAAUGGGCGAAAGCCUGAUCCAGCCAUGCCGCGUGUGUGAAGAAGGCCUUCGGGUUGUAAAGCACUUUAAGCGAGGAGGAAUGGCUGAGGGUUAAUAACCUUCAGCAGUGACGUUACUCGCAGAAUAAGCACCGGCUAACUCUGUGCCAGCCGCCGCAGUAAUAC
rnacentral:rRNA from 1 species